AUUAGUGACCUCUGAGAUGAUCUGUGCAGAGCCUGAACUGAUAGAAGCUUCCGAUCAUGUUGUAUAGCCUGUAUUGAGUGAAUAGCAUGCACCAUUGUGUCCCCUUGUCCCGAGACAGAGAUACCGUCCAUCCAAGUGUUAGGGUAUGAGUCACUCUGAGUAUAAAGGAGGCUAGACGUGGGGGGAUUAACCCCUUCCAGGUGCUGGGGACAGCAAGCAGUGGGAUCAGGCAUCACUACAGGUGAAGAAAUUUCAGUUGUGGAUGCAUCCGUAGACCAAAAUGCAGGAACCUUAAAAUCCACAACGGCGUCUAUACGAGAUAGCAGACGAGUGAUUCGGUCAUCCAAAUAUGAUAGUAGGAGAUCACUCAGGUCCUCAGAGCUUCAGUAGACAUAUUCAGUGAAAAGGGGUUGCUCUUGGUGACUGGAGAGAGAUGGUAGGGGAGGCACCUCAGCUCUGCCCAGCAGCAAACUGAAAUGAUGACCCAGCAGAGAGAUCUAAUACCUCCAAUGUAACGCGGAGUUGCAGCUGCAGACAAAAAUAUUUCUCCUUUAAAAGCAGGCUCCAGCGACUUGCAAGCCUUGGAAGAGGAAUAGGUGAGUGGGAAAGACUUGCACGUUCUCCCCGAUAAUCGCGCUCAUAAAAUGGCGGGCGGUCAUAUGCGCCUGAUACCUUGCAGGCUGGAUUCCGGCAUGAUAAGAGCGGCUCCAGACCCAGGACCCAUACAGUAAGUGGCAAUAGGGUGUUAGAAAGUCUGUACGUGGCUGGGUAAAAGCAAUCCCAGAUUAAAGCUGCAGUUUGGAAGCAGUUUUUUAGCAGCUGAGUCCAGAGCCCAUAUAAAAUGCGGCCACACGUGGUGCCCCGCCCACCGGAAGUCACGAGAAACAUUAUUAAUGCCGAGAGAGAAAACAUUGAAGGACAACAAAGUGUUCACAUGGACUAUCUCAUUUGAUUCCUCGAGCGCAGUGAUUCCAAAGGCCAGUAAGGCCCUGUCGCCUAUAGUAUCGUCAGAUCAAGAUCUGCCCGUCUUCAAGGGAGUACGUCCGAUGGCAUGUUAUUGAAGAGGAAGCAACCUCAGGGAUCUAUUGGUCCAUUCUGACAUAACGGGCUUGAAUUCAGCCCAAAGUAUACCACCUGUAAUUCAUUACAUGACCUCUGGAUACACCUUCCAAAAUCCCCACAUGUCCACGUUGUUCAAGAUCAAUCACGUUCUCUCAUGUGAUUCCAGAUUCGUGGUAUAUUUGAUAAUAUGCCCAUGUGGCCUGUACUACGUGGGAAUGACCACUAGAAAAUUUAAAGAACAUAUGGCCCUCCACCGUUCGGCCAUCAAAGGAGCAUUGGAAGGGAAAAGUGUGGACCAACCGAUGGCAAACCAUUUCAAAGAACAGGCACACGACCUGUCAUCACUUAGAGAGCGGCUCUCCCCCUGUAGCUGCUGAUGGCCGGGUAACAGCGUCAGUGUUGCCACAGCAACCGCCGGGACAUGCAGGGACUGACGUCACUUGAGGGCACGGACUCGUCCCAGUAGUGGAAGCCCGGGCUGCGGUGGCGGGAGGAGCCCGGCUUCUGGAGGGGUUAUAAUCGCCGCAGCCCGGCCACUCGGCGUCCAUGGUUGCUAUGGCAACCGGACGCGACUUCAAUGAUGUCAUCACAAAGAAGCCGGAAACUAAGCGGGAAGCAGCGCGGCCGGGCGUGAUACACGGAGCGGGACCUCUUACUAUUUAAGGAUGAGCCCAAAGGCAGGCAGAACAGGAGGAAGAGGAAGAAGAGUCAUCCUCCUCUCAACCCACCCCCCAUCAAUCACCAUCCUCCUCUUCCUCCUCCCCCUCUCAAACCACCUCCCCCCUCAACCCACCCCCCAUCAAUCCUCUACCUCCUUCUCCUCGGAAACCACCUACCCCCCACAACAACCCACAAACUGCUACCCUUCUCUUCUUCCUCGUCUCCCUCUCAAACCAUCCAACCCUCUCUAUCUUACCCCCCUCACCCUCUCAAUCUGAAGCCCCCUCUCAACUCCCCUCACUCUCUCAAUCUGAACCCCUCUCAACCCCCCUCACCCUCUCUAUUUUACCCCCCCCCUCAAUCCCCUCAGCCUCUCAAUCUGAACCCACCUCCCAACCCCCCUCAGUCUCUCAAUCUGAACCCCCCUCAAUCUGCCCCCCCCUCUCAAUUUGAACCCCCCUCAACCCCCAUAACCCUCUAAAUCUGAACCCCCCUCACCUUCUCAAUCUGACCGCCCCUCUCAAACCCCCUCACCCAUCCAACCUCCAUCACCCUUUCAAGCCCCUUCCUCCAUCCAACCUCCCACCCCCUUUUAACCCCCUUCCCCCAUCUCCAACGACCCCGGAGAGUGGGCCGCACAGGCCACUGAGGAAGUGGAGUAUGCUGGUCAUCCGUCGGGGGACAAUGCUGCAGUUGGACCUCCCAAUGUGGGAAUCGAACAAAUCUGCCACAUAAUGGAGCAGCACUGCCGGGGCCUAAUGCAGGCCAUUCAAAUGUUGAAAAAUAAUUAUAAAUGAUUUUUUUUAAAGUCAGACAAAUAAUGACAACAGUUCAAAAUAAAUAAAUACUUUUUUUUUGUUUAGCUAAA